rnacentral:tRNA from 1 species
GCCUGGGUGGCUCAGUCGGUCAAGCACCUGACUUCAGCUCAGGUCAGGAUCUCGCAGUUUACGGGUUCGAGCCCUGGUUCGGGCU